AACUUUCGGCAACGGAUCUCUUGGCUCUCGCAUCGAUGAAGAACGCAGCGAAAUGCGAUACGUAAUGUGAAUUUCAGAAUUCAGUGAAUCAUCGAAUCUUUGAACGCACCUUUCGCCCCUUGGUAUUCCGAGGGGCACACUCGUUUCAGUGGCGUGAAAAUCUCAAUCUUCUCGGUUUUUUCUGGACACCGAAGGAGGUUUGGACUUUGUAGGCCCUUGCUGGCGUCUCUCGCCAGCUCCUUUUCAAUGUAUUCGUGGGGCCCUCUUUGCCGAUCCUCGACGUGUGAUAAGAUGCUUCCAUGUCUUGGUUUAUGGCUCUGUUGCUUUUGGGACCCGCUUCUACCCGUCUCAACGAGACAACGUUCGAGCGUGUCGACCACUCUUGCACCCACGAACCCUUGACCUCAAAUCGGGUGAGACUCCCCGCUGGACUUAAGCAUAUCAAUAAGCGGAGGCU
rnacentral:misc_RNA from 1 species